rfam:Lachnospiraceae bacterium TWA4 TWA4_scaffold00001, whole genome shotgun sequence.
ACGAAACGAUCAGCACCGCCGAAGACAGCAGGUGCCGUAUGGCGUAAGGUGUAACGCCUGCCGAGACGAUUUUAAGGAAUGCCUUAUAUACCUCUCUGUCUUUGGAUAGAGAGGUUUUGUUUAUAUACA